GACGAACGGUGGCGGCGUGCCUAAUACAUGCAAGUCGAGCGCAGGAAGCUGACGGAACUCUUCGGAGGGAAGGCAGUGGAAUGAGCGGCGGACGGGUGAGUAACACGUAAGGAACCUGCCUCAAGGAUUGGGAUAACUCCGAGAAAUCGGAGCUAAUACCGGAUAGUUCAACGGACCGCAUGGUCCGCUGAUGAAAGGCGCUUCGGCGUCACCUUGAGAUGGCCUUGCGGUGCAUUAGCUAGUUGGUGGGGUAACGGCCCACCAAGGCGACGAUGCAUAGCCGACCUGAGAGGGUGAUCGGCCACACUGGGACUGAGACACGGCCCAGACUCCUACGGGAGGCAGCAGUAGGGAAUCUUCCACAAUGGACGAAAGUCUGAUGGAGCAACGCCGCGUGAGUGAUGAAGGUUUUCGGAUCGUAAAACUCUGUUGUAAGGGAAGAACACGUACGAGAAGGAAUGCUCGUACCUUGACGGUACCUUACGAGAAAGCCACGGCUAACUACGUGCCAGCAGCCGCCGUAAAAC
rnacentral:rRNA from 1 species